GACGAACGCUGGCGGCGUGCCUAAUACAUGCGAGUCGAACGCUUCUUUCCUCCCGAGUGCUUGCACUCAAUUGGAAAGAGGAGUGGCGGACGGGUGAGUAACACGUGGGUAACCUACCCAUCAGAGGGGGAUAACACUUGGAAACAGGUGCUAAUACCGCAUAACAGUUUAUGCCGCAUGGCAUAAGAGUGAAAGGCGCUUUCGGGUGUCGUUGAUGGAUGGACCCGCGGUGCAUUAGCUAGUUGGUGAGGUAACGGCUCACCAAGGCCACGAUGCAUAGCCGACCUGAGAGGGUGAUCGGCCACACUGGGACUGAGACACGGCCCAGACUCCUACGGGAGGCAGCAGUAGGGAAUCUUCGGCAAUGGACGAAAGUCUGACCGAGCAACGCCGCGUGAGUGAAGAAGGUUUUCGGAUCGUAAGACUCUGUUGUUAGAGAAGAACAAGGACGUUAGUAACUGAACGUCCCCUGACGGUAUCUAACCAGAAAGCCACGGCUAACUACGUG
rnacentral:rRNA from 1 species